GCAGGAGUUUUUCACUUUUAAAAUGUAUGAAGAAAGUUGCAAAAAAUGGAAUUUUGACUUAAUAAACGUUUUAUCAGAAAAAAUAUUUGGUACAGGUGGUAGCUAAUAAUAAUAGCUAACUGCGUUACCAAAUAUUUUUUGCCAAAAUGUCGAAAUAUUUGAAAAAAAUGAAAAAAUGUUCAAAUGCCCAUACAUUUUUUCGAUUGAAAACUUCUGCCUCGAAUCUGAUUGAUCGUCUUUUGCCUAUACAUGGACAUCAAGAAUAUACAUGGAUUCAUGGUUAUCAAUCUGUCAAAUGGAAACAAAACAAAGUAUCUUCCAAAACAAACAUGGAUCGGCAGCAAACGGAAAGGUGAAAAAAAUCUUUUUAAGCAAUAAUCAUCAUAAAUUUAUUAAAUUAUCUGCAUUUCAGGAGUGUGAAAAGUGUUAAACGGUGUGUUCCGAAACAGCAUGUCUCCACCAGGCCACGUAAUCAUCGUUGGAUGCAGGAAAAUGUUCGCCCUGACGGUGGCGAUGCUUGGUGGCGUGGACGACGUUCUCGCUAGAGCUGCAAUCUCAGAAAUACGAAAAGGUCGGUCUUCUGAAGAGUUACCAAAAAGUCAGCAAUAUCAAUGCUAACGUCUGGUCGAGCCGGAAGUGUUCCUGGGUCCGUUUAUCGAAACCACCCACACGGUGUCCAAAAACACCCUCUCUGCAACUUAUUCGAUCUACAGUUAGUACACCCCCUGCCGAUGGAUGCGCUUCCCGUGUGUGGUGUUUAGGUCAAGACGGGCGAGAAGUCGAUUUGUAGCAGCGUCGAUUGGAUUGUACAAGGAUUGGGCUAGCUGGAGCCGGAACAGAACGCGAGAAACCAACAACAGAACUAAGGUAGUGAUAAGUUUCUUCUGGCAAUCACGGCUGUUCAACAAAUAUCAUUCCGGUUACCACAUGGCGAACACCAUUACAGACACCUCCGUUCUGGUCACCAUCCCAUCAACAUUAUAAAAUGUAAUAAUUUUUAUUUUACUAAUUCUCUUUGUAUUUGUUUUUUUAGUAUUAAAAAGCAUGU